rnacentral:rRNA from 1 species
UACGGGGGGAGCAAGCGUUGUUCGGAUUUACUGGGCGUAAGGGCGCGUAGGCGGCCCGCACAAGUCAGUUGUGAAAUCUCCGAGCUUAACUCGGAACGGUCAACUGAUACUGUGCGGCUAGAGUGCGGAAGGGGCAACUGGAAUUCUUGGUGUAGCGGUGAAAUGCGUAGAUAUCAAGAGGAACACCUGCGGCGAAGGCGGGUUGCUGGGCCGACACUGACGCUGAGGCGCGAAAGCCAGGGGAGCGAACGGG